rnacentral:lncRNA from 1 species
CCCAGGUUCAACCCCAAGGAAAUCAAAGUCUUGUACCUGAUGUGCACUGGUGGGGAAGUUGUGCCACAUCUGCCCUGGCCACCAAGAUGGGCACCCUGGGGCUGUCUCCUAAAAAAUGGUUGGUGAUGAUAUCACCAAGGCAAUUGGUGGGUUUAAGGAAGGGUUUAAGGAUGACAGGGAAACGGAUCAUUUGGGACAGACAGGCCCAGACUGAAGCAGUACCUUCUGCCUCUGCCUUGACCAUCAAAGCUGUCAAAGGACCACUCAGACAGAGAAAAGCAGAAGCACAUUAAGCACAGUGGACAUGUAACUGUUGAAGAGAUCGUCAACAUUGCCGACAUAGGCGGGAAAAUCGUUAGCCAGAGAACUCUCUGGAGUCAUUAAGAACUACAAAGG